rnacentral:rRNA from 1 species
AGCAGCCGCGGUAAUUCCAGCUCCAAUAGCGUAUAUUAAAGUUGUUGCAGUUAAAAAGCUCGUAGUUGAAUUUCGGGAUCAUCAGGUUGGUCGUGCCUCUGGUAUGUACUGAUUUCGAUGGUUCCUCCUUCUUGAAGAACCGUAAUGCCAUUAAUUUGGUGUUGCGGGGGAACAGGACUGUUACUUUGAAAAAAUUAGAGUGUUUAAAGCAGGCAAUCGCUUGAAUACAUUAGCAUGGAAUAAUGAAAUAGGACGUUCGAUCUUAUUUUGUUGGUUUCUAAGAUUGACGUAAUGAUUAAUAGGGAUAGUUGGGGGCAUUAGUAUUCAAUUGUCAGAGGUGAAAUUCUUGGAUUUAUUGAAGACUAACUACUGCGAAAGCAUUUGCCAAGGAUGUUUUCAUUAAUCAAGAACGAAAGUUAGGGGAUCGAAGACGAUCAGAUACCGUCGUAGUCUUAACCAUAAACUAUGCCGACUAGGGAUCGGAUGAUGUUAAUUUUUUAAUGACUCA